rnacentral:rRNA from 1 species
UUCAACGGAGAGUUUGAUCCUGGCUCAGGACGAACGCUGGCGGCGUGCUUAACACAUGCAAGUCGAACGGUAAGGCCUUUCGGGGUACACGAGUGGCGAACGGGUGAGUAACACGUGGGUGAUCUGCCCUGCACUUCGGGAUAAGCCUGGGAAACUGGGUCUAAUACCGGAUAGGACCAUGGGAUGCAUGUUCUGUGGUGGAAAGAUUUAUCGGUGUGGGAUGGGCCCGCGGCCUAUCAGCUUGUUGGUGGGGUAAUGGCCUACCAAGGCGACGACGGGUA